rnacentral:lncRNA from 1 species
GCCUGCCUCAGUCCCCCUUUUGCCUAGCCGUGGAGACCUCCCUUCUUGGGAUGCUUGGGGAACUCAGCCGCUCUCCGGAGGCUGGCAGAAUCUCUGGGGUUUGAGACCAGCUGCUGAUGGGAUGAAUCAUCAUCACGCCUUGGAGCCGAGCCUGGGCGCUCCAGACCUCCAGGGCCACCAGCUGUUGGGUUCAUCGCAGGGGACCGUCACAUGGGUGUGAUGUGUCUUUGUGUGUUUGCGUGCAGGUUCAAGAAGACGUGGAAGCCACAGGCCCUGAAAGAGUGCAAGACGGGCGUGCACCCGCCGUAUUCCCUGGGGCAGUCCAAGCCCACCAUUGUGCUGGCUCCCCUCCUUUCCCCACCUGUGUCCCCCAGCAGCCUCGGCUCAGACAGCACCUCGAGCCACAGCCGACCAGAUGCCAGGGACUCGCGGAGCCCUUACGACAUCAGCAACAGAGACUACUUCUUCGCCAGAUAGCUGUCUGGGUGGCCCCUGGCAGCGGGGUGACAGAGGUGCUGAAUUGUGUGGGUGACGCAGCCCACGCUGGCUCUGGAAAGACGCUUCUCACUGCCAUUCCAGCUCAUCUCAGGGGCGUGGGGCAUUUGGCUUCACGGUGACGGAAGAGCCUGCAGAAGGUUCUAGACUGGUGGAAAUCGGCUUGCUACACCUGUUCUGAAGGAAGAGCUGGUUGAGCUUUCAAACCGCUCUUCCCAAGCGCUCUGCUUCGGGGGGUCUCAGCGACUCAGGACACUGUGAAGAGAGCCGCGCCAAGACUCGAUGGGACCGAGGGUGUGGAGGAGCUGCCGGGCACCCCCACACCCGGACUCAUCUCUGCCAGCCGAACCCUCAGGCAGGGGCAGGGGCUUCCAGGAGGCCUGCCGUGGUGGCUGGCUCCUGCCCCUGCCCAGUCGCACCUUGUCCCUCCGACUCUGGAAACCCAAGUGCCUUUGCCAUUCUGUUUCCUGGACUGAGGAUGGCUUUGUGCAAACCACUGAGGCUGGGGAGGGAGCUCUUUCCUGCCUUCCCCCCACACUUGAAAAGCAGCUGGUGUGUGAGUGUGAGUGUGAGUGUGUGUGCAGGGGGUGGUGAAUAAGUCUCAGGGCCGAUGGUUUAAGUGGAAUCAUAAUCAGCUCCUCACGAGUGUUGUGCUCAAUGUGAAUGAUAACCCUAGGCUUUUGCUGGCUACAGAAGCAGCUGCGCCAACUUUGUCCCCCUGUUGGGGUCUCAGGGCUUGAGGACAGAAGCAGAGAGGAAGGAGGGGAGUAGGGACAGGGUCUUCAAGGUCCCCUGUUGUAGCUGAGGGGGACCCCAGCCUCUGGAAACCAGUUUCCUCUCCCCCCUGCCAGUGCUGGGAGCCAAGUCAGUUGACUUCAUCUUGGUUGGUUGGGGUGCCGACCGGACCUGAGUGAUCAGUGUAGACGGUGUCGGUGUGAAAGGAAAAACGAAUCCGCAAGAAUGUGCUUCGUGUUUUUGAAAACCUGCUCUUUUCUCUUGAGGUGCUGGGAGCCUCAGUCUUCUCUGGAUUUCGGUUUAUAAAUAACUUGGGGCGGGGCACGAUGAUUCUGUUUAGCACCAAAGCAAGUCCACUCAAAAAAGGAGGAGGAGGAGAAGAAGUUUCCCUUAUGGAGAAGAGAUUCUGGUUUCAUUCUGUAUUUUGUUUUUGUCUUGCAAACCGUAAAAAUAGUCUCUGCCUCUUCUCUGAAUUGGGGAAAAAGUCACUUGUGACUGUCCCCCUGCCCCUCCCCUAGGUGGUUAGGAAAGAAAGGGUGUCCCCCUUCCUGUUGUGAUGCCGCCCACGAGUACCCGGCAGGGUCCUAGAAAGUCCCCACUGAGACUCAGAAGGGAGGUUCAUUUUUUUAAAAAUAUAAAUCCCUUACCUGGGUUUCUUCCUCUUUUUGUUUUGUUCCUUGAACUGGAUUCGGCUCAGCUCCCAUGGAAGCAGCCGAUGGGUGUCCAGCUGUGACACCCGUAACCACCAGCUCACUUUCCUGUCGGGGCUUUGAGAACUCAGUGAUGUUAGUGUCACCCAGACAGGUGACCACAGAGGAGAGCGGUGAUUAAAACGAGCUGUGGAGCCACAGACCCUGAAUUUACCAGACCACAAGGCUUUUCUAGAAGUUUACCCUUUUAGAAAAACACCACCGCCACCAGACACGUGGCGAAGGGUGGAAGCCCCCAUGUGUUCGCCAAGCGCCGGGUUCUGGGCGUCACUGUCUCGAGCCCUGGUGGCUCUCACAUCCUGCCGUCUUAGGCGGGUGGUCCACGGGGUUGACAAGAGUCAAGCAGGUGUUCAUGGCUCUCCUUUCCCCCCGCUCUGUCAGGUUUCUGAAUCACAAAAAUGCUGUGAAAGGAAAUGUUAGAAUGAGGAUCUGCAUGAGAGAGUGCGACUCUGCCCACGGCUCUUUAACUCUCACACAGUUCUGCCCACAGCCAGGCAGGGCCGCUGGUGGGGGACGUGAGAUCCAGAGAGUUCAUCGUCUCUGAGAGCGAGGCAGCUUUGAUCUCCAAAUUGUUAUUGCUUUCACUAUUAUUGUACCGGAACUGCCUUUUCUUUUGGGGGGAGGCGGUAUCACAGAGGGUUCCCCCCUUUACUUGUUGUAAGCUAGUGCCAGUGGAGGAAAGGCUGGCCUCUCUGGGCUCAGAGUCUGCUUCGUGGCCAGGCCCCUGCCUUAGGCUUUCUGUGUCUGAAUGGUUCCUGGACACGUGUCUCUGUCCACUAGUCCCAUGGAUCACUCUUCCUUAGGUCCCUGCAGUCCACAGGCUGCCUUGGAUCCUCAACAGGGCCGACACUACCUACGGCCUGCGCCCUCAGCCACAUAGCCAGAUGUUGAAGUGUGUGGACAGGGACCAUUGAAGGAGGAGGGAUGCACGAAUUUAGAAGCCCAUCUUGUUGGGUGGGCCCAGUCGAAAAUAUGCUGGACCCAGGUCUAACCUAAAGUGAUCAUCAGUUCUUGUAGCAUUAAUGACAUGUUUUUAAAAAAACAUUGGAUGUGUGUCGUACAAGGUCUUUGGGGGACUCCGCGGUUUGCUCUGAUGGGGUCUCCCCCUGGCCGUUUGUUUGCCGGACCCUGAACUCACACUGGGCCUCCACCACUUCCCCGCUGUCUCAGGAGCAAGGCGUGGGCUCCGUUGUGGGAACUGGUUUGGGAGCCCCGUGGUCCUGAGUAGAGCCCAGCGGGCAGCCUGGGGCUGGCCAUGGCUUGUGAGUCUCUUGAAGAUUGUUCCGGAAUGUCUUGCCCAGCUGCUCCGGCGCUGUCUGUUCCCAUUGCAGGUCCUUAACAUUGACCCACUUGGGAAGGUGUCCCACCCCCAGUUCCAGGUGGAGAUGGUGACAAAUCUGUCCUCAUUUGGAGACGGGAGCCACCAACGGUCCUUCUCCAAACAGCAACCUGCAAUGGGGCUGUGGCCAGAAGGCUCCAGCAGCUGCCUCCGGCUUUGGGCCAGGCACUCCCAGGCGUCCCCUAAAAGUCCUUCCAGCCUCUGUCCCUAGUGUGGCUGGGCGCCAGCUCCAGGGAGUUCCCAUGGCAACCUUGAUGAUCGUUAAGGAACAUUGUCAGUUUUCUGAACAUGUGCUCAGAUGGAGAUCUGCUUUGGAAGGGAAGGACUGGGACAGCGAGAGACCUCGCUGGAGGAGCCCACGCCUGCUGACCACGAUACCUCAGCUCUGCAUCGCUUUUGGAGAGAAAUAGAUCAUCGUUUUAAGGGACUUCCCUCUUAAUUACCUGAAAACCAAUACCAAAGGCUGAUGUCAGUGUAUUUUGAUUUUUCAACGCUUUUUUCCUUUUAUCGCUAUUUUGCACUUAAAGUGAACAUGGUA